rnacentral:ncRNA from 1 species
AAAAGUUUUAUUCUUGCUUACUUAUUUACUUAAAUAUUGUUUUACAUGUAAAUUUUAGUAUGAAUUAAUUUUAGCCUUGAUGGUUAAUUUUUUAAAGGUUAUUCGCAGUAUUUGGUUUUAUUAAUCAAGGUGACUUGGAAUUAGUAAUUAUUGAAUAGUACCGGCAAAAAUCGUGCCAGCUGCCGCGGUUAUACGAAGGGUGUGAGUGAAUAUUAUUGGUUUGUGGUUAAAUUGGAUUAUGGGUAAUUAUAUGUAGAUUUUUUGGGUGGAAUCUUUAAAUUUAUAUUUAUUUCUUAAUUUGUUGUUGAAACUGCUAAAAUUAGAUUGUUAGACUAGGAUUAGAUACCCUAUUAUACUAAAAGUUAGAAGUAUGGAGGCUCGGGUAGUAUAAAGUAUUUUUUUGAAACCCAAAGAAUUUGGCGGUGUUUUAGGCCUUUUAGAGGAACUUGUCUCGUAAUCGAUAUUCCUCGUUGGAUUAUACUUAGGUUUGUAUUCAGUUUGUAUACCGCCGUCGUCAGAAUGUCUUUAGAGAGAUUUAAUUUUCUUUUUUUUAAAAUGAAGGGGAUGUCAGGUCAAGGUGCAGUUUAUAUCUAAGGGAUGAUGAGUUACAAUAAAUUUAUUUAUAUGGAUUGCUCUUUGAAAAUAGGUGUAUGAAGGUGGAUUUAAAUGUAAUUGAAUUGAAUUUAAUUAAAUUGGUUUUGGCUCUGGAACAUGUACACAUCGCCCGUCGCUCUCGUUAUUAAGGCGAGAUAAGUCGUAACAUAGUAGAUGUACUGGAAAGUGUAUCUAGAACGUU